CUCGUAGGCGGUUCGUCGCGUCCGGUGUGAAAGUCCAUCGCUUAACGGUGGAUCUGCGCCGGGUACGGGCGGGCUGGAGUGCGGUAGGGGAGACUGGAAUUCCCGGUGUAACGGUGGAAUGUGUAGAUAUCGGGAAGAACACCAAUGGCGAAGGCAGGUCUCUGGGCCGUUACUGACGCUGAGGAGCGAAAGCGUGAGGAGCGAACA
rnacentral:rRNA from 1 species